rnacentral:rRNA from 1 species
AGAGUUUGAUCCUGGCUCAGAUUGAACGCUGGCGGCAGGCCUAACACAUGCAAGUCGAGCGGAUGAGUGGAGCUUGCUCCAUGAUUCAGCGGCGGACGGGUGAGUAAUGCCUAGGAAUCUGCCUGGUAGUGGGGGACAACGUUUCGAAAGGAACGCUAAUACCGCAUACGUCCUACGGGAGAAAGCAGGGGACCUUCGGGCCUUGCGCUAUCAGAUGAGCCUAGGUCGGAUUAGCUAGUUGGUGAGGUAAAGGCUCACCAAGGCGACGAUCCGUAACUGGUCUGAGAGGAUGAUCAGUCACACUGGAACUGAGACACGGUCCAGACUCCUACGGGAGGCAGCAGUGGGGAAUAUUGGACAAUGGGCGAAAGCCUGAUCCAGCCAUGCCGCGUGUGUGAAGAAGGUCUUCGGAUUGUAAAGCACUUUAAGUUGGGGGGAAGGGCAGUAAGUUAAUACCUUGCUGUUUUGACGUUACCGGCAGAAUAAGCACCGGCUAACUUCGUGCCAGCAGCCGCGGUAAUACGAAGGGUGCAAGCGUUAAUCGGAAUUACUGGGCGUAAAGCGCGCGUAGGUGGUUCGUUAAGUUGGAUGUGAAAGCCCCGGGCUCAACCUGGGAACUGCAUCCAAAACUGGCGAGCUAGAGUAUGGCAGAGGGUGGUGGAAUUUCCUGUGUAGCGGUGAAAUGCGUAGAUAUAGGAAGGAACACCAGUGGCGAAAGGCAGCCCCCUGGGUCGAUACUGACGCUCAUGCACGAAAGCGUGGGUAGC